rnacentral:rRNA from 1 species
AGCGAACGCUGGCGGCAGGCCUAACACAUGCAAGUCGAACGAAGUCUUCGGACUUAGUGGCGGACGGGUGAGUAACACGUGGGAACGUGCCUUUAGGUUCGGAAUAACUCAGGGAAACUUGUGCUAAUACCGAAUGUGCCCCUCGGGGGAAAGAUUUAUCGCCUUUAGAGCGGCCCGCGUCUGAUUAGCUAGUUGGUGAGGUAAAGGCUCACCAAGGCGACGAUCAGUAGCUGGUCUGAGAGGAUGAUCAGCCACAUUGGGACUGAGACACGGCCCAAACUCCUACGGGAGGAAGCAGUGGGGAAUCUUGCGCAAUGGGCGAAAGCCUGACGCAGCCAUGCCGCGUGAAUGAUGAAGGUCUUAGGAUUGUAAAAUUCUUUCACCGGGGACGAUAAUGACGGUACCCGGAGAAGAAGCCCCGGCUAACUUCGUGCCAGCCGCCGCCGUAAGAC